ensembl:lncRNA
GAGCAAGGCUAGUCACUGGUCAGUUGUUGAGCUGCAAACCAGCACCGGGUUAGACUCUGACUUCAGUCUGUGUUGUCCUGUAUCGCUCAGAGGCCCAGAGAAAGUAUGACGACAACUGCGACUCCCUCCACGAGGAGUCUGUUUCCGAAACGGCAGAAAACUCCGGGGAGGAGGCCGGCGAGGGGGCGCUGGAUGUGGAGGCAGGAGAGAUGACCGAUGGAGGUGAGGACGACUACGACGAGGAGGGCAGCCACCAUCUGAUAGAGAACCAUGUAUCGGAUAUUGACAACUGAGAUCAGGGUGAGGAAGCAGACACCUCUGCCCUCGGUGGUAUUAGAAUUCAUCAUCACCUUCAAGAGACAGAAAAAGUUCUCUGAAGGAUCAAGACAACCAUUCUGGACUGUAAGUUGUAUUAAAGCGAUGAUGAGUCACAUUUAUAUCCUCAAGUGUGCAGCACAAAACCGAAUGUGAUUUGCUUUCUAAAGAAAAAUGUAUUCAAGAACCAUUUUAAUGCAUUGGCCUGAGUUGACCUCAUGGUUAUUCUGUGCAAUUUCGUUUUCCGCUGCAAGAGGCUGACAGUAUUCUGCGAUAAUCCUAUUCCUGGAAAAAAAGAAAAGAAAAAAUAAAUACAUAACACAAUUGAAGGAAAUAAAGGGAGUUAUUUGGAUUAAUGGAGUUGUGUUGCAAGAAGGGAACGUGGCAUUGUUGGUCAGUUGUUGCUGCUUUAAUGAAAUGUGUUUUUGCGCUGUAAUUUCACAAUUUUUUUUUUUUUUUGGUUUGUUUGUUUUGUUUUUUUUGUUGUUGUUGCUCAAAAAUGUAAAUGAAUAAAUGACAGUCAGAACAAUCUGCGAGUGCAGUAUAAUAUUCAGAAAACGAUUGAAACAAACGGUGCCGUCUGGUUUGGAUUCGACUCAUACAUAAGCCAAUAGCUGUGAGCAUGACUUUAUCCUGCUUUAUCCAUUUAUCACACAAACGCCCUGCGGGGCUGUUCCAUCAUAUAUUCCAACUCCUGCCAAGUUUCAGAAGCAGAAAGGGCUUCCUGUGGUAGGGAGCCAACGCUGGCACAGACCUCCUGCCAGGGAGCAUUGCCCUAGCGUCUCAGUGCGCUCCUCCCUGCUCAGCCUGUGCAUCCCAACAUGGAUGGCUGCUGUUCAGGAGCCAACGCCUGUUUUCCUCCUCCUUCAACCCCCCCCCACCCCCACCCCCACCCCCCGCACUGAUUCUGGUCUCAUGUAGGUGAGCCAGCAGAAAGUUUUUCAAAAAACGGUGGAAUCGUAUUUUAAAUUAUACAUUCAGCUUUGAUUUCAUCCAAGUGCACGACUGGCUUAGAUUAGUCAGUAAAAAUAGAAUCAUUGGUACAAUCAGACGGAGCUGAACUGGUCUGCUUCUGUCCGCUCUCCUGGGGAACAUUACAGCUCUUUGUAUGUGAAGUGCUGCCAGCUCAGACUUGUCAGUUAUGUUGGAGCCCUGACGAAAAAAAAAAAUGUGGCUCAAGCUUCGACUGAAGAAGGAUAAUUAACCUGAUUAUAAAUAAAUUGCCCCAAAGCGAAUGAUGUCACCAGUGAUUGUGUAUCAGCGUGUCCUGCAGUUAAUUAUUAAUUUUCUUUUCUUUUCUUUUCUUUUUUUUCUCUCUUUCUAAAGAACUACAGCCGCUGUUACUCAGGCGCAUCAGCUAAUUGCUCAGCAGCAUCAGUUUGGUUGAUGAUGCAUGUGACACAACGCUAACGCUAACAGCAUCUUUAAUUAAUCAGCUUUUAGAGGCACUAAGUCGGUGACCAGGGCUGCUGCCGUUAUGAAGCCCUUUGCAGUUUCUUUGUUACAUCACAAGACACCAAAUAGAGAGAAUGUUUUAUUUAUUUGCACUGAUGUGAGAUUACAGGAGAUUAAACUUGUGCUCUUGAUUUGCACUUUCAAUCUAUGAUAUUGAUGUUGUUAUUAAUAUAGCAAAAUGGAACACCUCUAAAGAUUAAGACUAUAAAUGAUAAACCAAUCACUCAGUAUCCGCCCAAAUGUAUUCCAUCUUUCUAUCCUUAGCAAUUGAUGUGAAGGCUCAUUUUCUUUCUUAGUAUUUUGUCAAUGAAAGCUAUGUAUUUCACUCCACCACCCGUGUGAGUUGGGCCAUUUACGUUAACGUCAUCAUACCUACAAAUCAAGCCCCACUUUGCGUACAACUGCGAGCUAAGGUUUAGCUGGAGUCAACAUUUUAUCCUGCAGUUAGUCAGAGAAAGGUGCAACUUUGAGCCAAAUUUUGGGAAAUACAGUAAAAGAAAAUGUGCUGUGAAUUUCCAGAAGCCGGUGGCGCUGCUUUGUCCACUUUGUCAACAAAAAGAGUGACUGUCAAACUACAAACGGGGGGAAAAGGAGAAAGUGCAAAACACGACAGAACGAACGUAACAUUCUCUGCACAGAUUGGAUGUUUUCAGACUCAUCUGUGGACAUUUAGGUCACAUGCUUCAUGCUAACGUUGCACUUUAUUUUAGUUAUAUUUUGAGAUUUUCACUCACUACCUAAUUUCUGGGUCUGUGACACAAUCAGUCUGAUUGAUGCUACUGAGCAAUGGUAUGUAUGGUCUCUACUCCUUCCUCCUCCUCCUCUGGAUGUGGAGUAAUGAACCCUCACUGUCUUUUAUUUGGAUUAAUAAUGUCCUGAAUAUCCCUGAAUGUUGAAUCUGUGUUGUUCCACCCAAACAGUUAAUUAAAUAUAUAUAUAUAUAGAUAAAUAUUUCCGUCUUGGCCCGUGGCGGCAUCUACUCAAGCAGAUAGUUGUGCUUUUACCUCCACAGGUUUCACUAUCUGCUCCUGAGACUCGUAGCCACUCCACUUCGAUCAAGGUAAAAGAAAUUCCAUCUGUGUUUCUGGUAGGAUUAAAAAUAGCAUCUGAAAUGUUUUACAGCUUUGUUUCUUUUCAUAAAUUGUGCUAAUUAGGCUGGAUAACCCACACAUGGCUUUGCAGACAUAUUUGAUGAUAUUAUUUGACCUUGAGUAGUAGAAAAUGUUUCCCAUGAAAAUUGGAUUAAUAACACAAACGAUGAGUUGUGUAAUCUUUUAACGCUUUCAGCACCGCAAACAAAAUCCCCUUCUCUCCUGUUUGUGUUGUGAUUUUCGCACAAUAGCUGCGCAAAUAAAAACAUAUCACCAGGGGUGAGUGAGUAAACGUGCUAAAUCCUUUCUUGUGAAUUUAUCUAAAUGUGAAGGAAAAGUCAAGCUCAUGCGGUUUCAUGACACCACCAGUCAACCCCGGCAGGGUUAGGGUGAAAAAAUACACACAGUACAAUUAAAAUAACGACUGUCCUGCAGCUCAUUCAAAAUAAGUGUCUGGUGAAUGAUGAUAAUGUGUAAUAUUUAGCACUAUUUUUGUAUCCAAAAAAAAAAAAACAUGUUUAAGGGAAAUGGCUCUGCUACAUGUUUGAUUUUUAAUUUAUACGUUGUUUUGCUGGUAGCCUGUUAUUAAAUGAACAGUAAAGUGACGUGUCUAAUAUUUUGCAAAAAUACAAAGAAAAAACAAAAACAACAACUUCAUUGCUUUUAACUGUUGUAAUUUAUCUCGUCACUUUAGAACAUUUCUGGUUCACGUUCAGCUCACCGUGUAAAUAGUCCUCGUUCUGUUUAUUUCGAGAACAAUAGACUGAAAAGAGAAAUUUUAUUGAGUUUAAAAUAAUAAUAUACUGACAGUUUGUUGGAAUCGUUGUGGGUUUUAACCAGAAUCGUGGGGCUUGUAGAGAUGUGUAACUGACAACUGUUGUAUAGAAAUGUACAUUUUUUGUAAAGAUAUUUUUAUCAAAAGGCAUGUUUACUGUAACUUUGUAUUUUCAGUUCAUGUUAAAAAAAAAAGUAUAUAACUGUUGUAAGGCUAGAAAACUCAUUGUCGAACUAUUUGUGUUCUUAUCAGUCAAUAAUAAAAUGUUUGUGUCAUAUUUAACUACUC